rnacentral:misc_RNA from 1 species
GAUGAAGAACGUAGUGAAAUGCGAUAAGUAAUGUGAAUUGCAGAAUUCAGUGAAUCAUCGAAUCUUUGAACGCACAUUGCGCCCGCCAGCACUCUGGCGGGCAUGCCUGUUCGAGCGUCAUUUCAACCAUCAAGCCCCCAGGGGCUUGUGCUGGGGCCCUGCGGCUGCCCGCAGGCCCUGAAAACCAGUGGCGGGCUCGCUAGUCACACCGAGCGCAGUAGCACAUCUCGCUCAGGGCGUGCGGCGGGCUCCUGCCGUGAAACCCCCCACUGUAACCCCAAAGGUUGACCUCAGAUCAGGUAGGAAUACCCGCUGAACUUAAGCAUAUCAAUAAGCGGAGGA